UGGGGAAUUUUGGACAAUGGGGGAAACCCUGAUCCAGCCAUCCCGCGUGUGCGAUGAAGGCCUUCGGGUUGUAAAGCACUUUUGGCAGGAAAGAAACGUCAUGGGUUAAUACCCCGUGAAACUGACGGUACCUGCAGAAUAAGCACCGGCUAACUACGUGCCAGCAGCCGCGGUAAUACGUAGGGUGCAAGCGUUAAUCGGAAUUACUGGGCGUAAAGCGUGCGCAGGCGGUUCGGAAAGAAAGAUGUGAAAUCCCAGAGCUCAACUUUGGAACUGCAUUUUUAACUACCGGGCUAGAGUGUGUCAGAGGGAGGGGGAAUUCCGCGUGUAGCAGUGAAAUGCGUAGAUAUGCGGAGGAACACCGAUGGCGAAGGCAGCCUCCUGGGAUAACACUGACGCUCAUGCACGAAAGCGUGGGGAGCAAACAGG
rnacentral:rRNA from 1 species